CGCAGUUGCUUCGCCCCGCACGAAAACCAGUCUGUUUCCUCCUCACACACGAGCAGAGCGGACCUGGCGGGAUUUGUCGGAGUCAGCGUCACAGUGUCGCGAGCGGAGACGGCGAGGCUGAGUCGCGGGCGGCGGCGUGCAUGAUCUGGCGGCGCAGUGAGCGGGCGAGGUAAGUGUUGCAGUCGCCGCCGGCAUCAUAGGGACGUAGGCAGCUGACGCCUCUCGAUGGAGGCAGUGGUGUUUUUUCUAUCAGAUUUGUCCCAGUCUGCUACUCUGGUAUUCACGUCUUAGUUGUCAGCCGAGUGCUAUUUUUCUGCUGCUCAGCUUGCCGAGGUUUUCCCUUGCUCUCCUAAAUCCCCUAUUACUCACAAAUUUUCAUGUUCAGUAUGUGUUUUAGAUUCAUUUCUUGAUCUAUUUCCCUGCUCGCAUGUAUAUCAUCUAUCACACUUCAGUUUCACCUUCUUUGACUGCUACACUGAACGCAUGUAUAUCACACUGGCGUACUUAAGAUUCAUGUAUUUAAAUAUGUGUGGUCUGGUUAUGUGUAUCACAUUUUACCAUCUGAGUUUCACAUUUGAUUCCUUUCAUUUUCAGUGUGAUACAGAAAUGGUUGGGGCUUUCCAAUUUGGUGCUGAAAUUUAAGCAGCCACUUCAAUUUAGUGCUAUUCGGCACUGAGAUGCAAUGUAACCAAUUACAAAGCAUUAAUUCAUGGUUGACGAAUAUCGCAGAAUGGCGCAUGUUGUGAUUAAUCAAGUCAUCGGCUUUAUAUGUAUUAUUGGGUCAUUUGUGUAGGGUUUAACAUGCCCAUGGGAGUCAAUCAUGUGAUCAUGUGGCUUUCGUGUUGUUCAGUUCACCACAUUUGAUGGAUGUCCGGGAGUGGUUACGGCUAGAUGGGUUGGUCAAAGAGUUGACAUCAUGAUUAUUUGCUUAUUUUAAUAUCAAACAUUUUGAGGUAUAUUAAUCAUGGAUCAGAUGAAGGUGGAGCAUGGCUAGCCUGCUUGUUUAGCAUAGCUGCCAGGUGCAUCAAAAAAAUCGGGGGCACAGGGUCUCUAAUGCGGAUCCACGGUGUCGCCAACGAGCAAGAUUUACAUUUCUGAUCGUCGUCGUGUUUGGAUAUCUACCGUUGAAGCAGAACAUGGGUCUUCUUUUUGGUCGCGGGGCGCGUGCGUCCAGAACGUGCUGGAUUCCCUUGUGUCGGCGCUGCUCAAGGACGAGAAUCGCAAGUUAAUCUAUGUUGAGAAGGUAAGGAGACUGUCAGUGUUCACCAACAAUCUGGACAACUUGGAGGUGGGGAAUUGGGAGGUUGCAAAGCAAUUUAUUAUGGUUACGUGAAAACUUAACCACUCUGUUGCUUUACAGCCAUUUCAUGUCUGUCAGAGUAUUAUAGGAACUCUGUUCCCUUUUUUUGCGAAAGAUAGGAACUCUUUUCCCUGCUGUCUAUUUGCAGAAUUCUAGCUAGACCAGUAGUUCUACAUCCAAAUGGAAUGGAUGGUGUAAUGUGUGUUCAUUUUUGGGUUUGACGCUAUGAUUUUUCUUCAGUAAUCAUCUAUAAAUGGCUAGUUGCAACCGUAUUUUUAGAGAUGGUGGAGGCAGCAGAACGACAUUAUUAAGGGUACGGUGAAGGGGCUUGUCAGCCCCGGACGGUUGGAAUUCAUGUAGGCUAGCUCUUUCAACAACUUUCUUGUCGCAAUGGCAAUCAUGUCUCUGCUCUAUAUUUCAAUGAUGACAUAUUACUCCUUGUGAUGCUAAAGAAAUAGGGGCAUGUGCAUGCACGACGAGGCGACUGUGUGCUACAUUGACAUGAUCGAUCAAACUACACUGGGGCACAGGUUCAUCAAUGAGGAAUUUAGUCAGAUUCCGAGGAUUGGUUGGCAGAUUGAUCCAUUUGGGCACUCUACAGUUCAGGCUUACCCCCUCAGUGCAGAAGUAAUUCACUGUGUCCAUUUUAUGUCAGCAUUUCAGAUUUUUUAUGGUCACUGUUACUUCCGUUUACAUCUCAUUUGCAUGAUAAGAUGAGUUUCACACUCAGGAUGCUUACUUUUGUACCAUUAUGAUAGGUUACCUGUCAUCACUGGCUCUAGCUACUAUGAACUUGCUAGUUACAGUAAUACCUAAAUGUUGAGAUGCAGUACUGUUGGUUCAUAGAGCAUGCAUAAUAGGAAUUCCAACGGCUAUGCUCUCAAGAGUGUUUGACUGCACUUCUUGACCACCCAACAUAACUAAUGAAUUUACACAACUCGGACACUUCACUGAAUUUACACCUGCUGCAGUGUUUUGACAAACAUGUCAAAUUUGUCAGCGUAGAGAUGGGUGGUAACAUUUAGUUAAGAAAGGUGACUCGGUCCUAUUAGGACUUGGGAUGCAUGACUACUGAUUUCUGUACUAACCUUCCCUUGUCUACUUCCAGAUCCGCGCACCAUCUACUAGACGAUACCCCCAUAUGGAUUGUUUGAUUUCUUCUCCUCUUUAGACUGCAGGUGCAAGAUUCUGAAUUAUUAAAUGAUUUUGAUGCGCCUACACAGCCAUGACAGUACAUACAGAAAUUCAUUAACUAUUUGUUGCAACAUUCAACCAAAAUUUGCCCCAACGGGGUGAUGGAUACAAUAUUUUAGCCAAGUUUCUUCUUCAAAGUAUGAUAAAUGAUCUUGAAAAGCUGGAACUGGUGUUAAUUGCUGCCAUUUAUUUCUCACUGUCAAGGAGGAAUCAGAGUCAAAGAUAAUCAACAUCGACAGUAAGGUCUAAUUGGGUAGAAGACGUCGCUGAUGAACUAGCAUGGCUAGAUCGCAAUCAUGGCUUCUUCGAUUCGUCUAUAGUGUUAUUUCGUUGUGUCACUUUUGUGUGUUCUGUAUAAUGCAAGGCUAAAAGUAAUAAUGCAAUUAUUAUAUCUUUUAACUACUAUCAUACCACUUUUGCCAUCUGGACCAUCUCUUUUUUCACUAAACUAUGCAUCCUGUAAUACAUAGACGUUAACAAGUGCGGUAGCUUGAUUAGUGCGCACAAUCCUGCCCCAGGAGACGCGCCUAGGGCGCGUCGUAGUUUUCUCCAUCCAACGGGUCACUGUACCAGUGUUCUUCCUAAUAGUUUAUUAUAAAUAACCGAAAUUUUAAGCCAUCGAUUGAUAUGCAUUUGCGGGGAUUAUGAUAGAUAUAGAAGCAUCAAAAUUGAAUAUAUGCUACUCUUUACUUAUGACCUGACUCAUGAAAUGAACUGAGGUAGCGAAAUACAUUACUUCCACAAUACAUAUAUGUGCAACAAUUUUUCUGAUAAUAGUGAGAAAUAGUAUUGUUAAUUGCCCUAACUAUUCCUGAUUUUGCAUUUGUCGACACAUUUUUCCUGCAUGUUGCAUCUUGCCAAUUUGGAGAAGGCAUGCUAAAUUAUUAUUACGCCCAUCUAUGGUGUGGCCUUUAUGUAUGCUAUUUAUUUUCUUCGUUCCCUUUAUGCAUUGGAAAAAUACACCCUGUUCUUCCUUUGUUGAUUUUUUUCUUACACUUAUUGAUUUGUGGCAAAAUGUGGCAAAAGUUUAAAUAUACACGUUGUUUUGUUGCUUAUCCGAAAGGAAUCGGCUUUAUAAGCUCAGGUCAGUGCUUUGAAUUUUAAAUAAUUAUUUCCUGUUAGUAAUGUGGUCUAAUGUCCACAUCUUAUGAUAUUUUGAUCCAUUAUUGGUUUCAUAACUAAAUGCAAAAUUGGUUUGUCAUCGAUGCAGUAGAGGAAAUAUUUUGCAAGCAGUUCCAUGCAAUCAACAUUGAUGAAGAUCCAUUCAUUAUUUAUUUGUGAGAUCCCAUAACUGAAUUGAGACUUUUCCCAUGGAUUUGUUAGAGAUUCUCUGUGUAAUUUUGGUGUUCAAUAUAGCUGCUUGAUGCCUUAGGAUAUAUCGUGCUUCACAGUUGAUCGAUGCUUUAGGAUAUGUUGUGCUUCACACAUGCUUGAUGCUUUAGGAUAGGUCGUAUUUCACAACUGAAACACGCUUCACUUAGUUUUACUUAGUUUUGUUAUAAUACUCAUAUAACACACAUGGUUGUUGUUACUAAUUCAAUUCCACAUUGUUUUAAAUAGUUGCGAAUUUAAAUACGUCGAUGGUGUGGUUAAAGUAGUGUCAAAUUAAUUGUUGUGCUUACCUAAAUUGAUUCCAGAUUUCUAAAUGAAGUUUUGUUUUUCUAGAUAACAUAAAACUCUGACAUUGAUGCAGAUGAUUUUGCACCGGGAAUGCUAGGGGUCUGGACUAACUGUA